rnacentral:rRNA from 1 species
UACAGAGGGUGCGAGCGUUAAUCGGAAUUACUGGGCGUAAAGCGUGCGAGGCGGUUUUGUAAGUCUGUCGUGAAAUCCCCGGGCUCAACCUGGGAAUUGCGAUGGAGACUGCAAGGCUAGAAUCUGGCAGAGGGGGGUAGAAUUCCACGUGUAGCAGUGAAAUGCGUAGAGAUGUGGAGGAACACCGAUGGCGAAGGCAGCCCCCUGGGUCAAGAUUGACGCUCAUGCACGAAAGCGUGGGGAGCAAACAGG